rnacentral:rRNA from 1 species
AUACGUAUGGUGCAAACGUUGUCCGGAAUCACUGGGCGUAAAGCGCGCGUAGGCGGUUCUGUAAGUCGUUUGUGAAAUCCCGGGGCUCAACCCCGGGGCUGCAGGCGAUACUGCAAGACUAGAGCUCGGUAGAGGCAAGUGGAAUUCCCGGUGUAGCGGUGGAAUGCGUAGAUAUCGGGAAGAACACCGGUGGCGAAGGCGGCUUGCUGGGCCGAUGCUGACGCUGAGGUGCGAAAGCGUGGGGAGCAAACAGGAUUAGAUACCCCAGUAGUCC